GGGCAUUUGGCACAGUGGCAGCGUGCACGCUUCGCAUGCGUGAGGUCUAGAGUGGAACAUUCAAUCCCCUGAAUCGUAAUGUCCA